rnacentral:rRNA from 1 species
CCCUUAGAUGUUCUGGGCCGCACGCGCGCUACACUGAUGCAUUCAACGAGUCUAAAACCUGGUCUGAUAGGGCUGGGUAAUCUUUGAAUCUGCAUCGUGACGGGGAUAGAUUAUUGCAAUUAUUAAUCUUCAACGAGGAAUGCCUAGUAGGCGCAAGUCAUCAGCUUGCGUCGAUUACGUCCCUGCCCUUUGUACACACCGCCCGUCGCUCCUACCGAUUGGGUGUGCUGGUGAAAUGUUCGGAUCGGCCGUUUGUCGCGGUUUCCGCGUCAUGUGGCUGAGAAGUUCAUUAAACCCUCCCACCUAGAGGAAGGAGAAGUCGUAACA